rnacentral:rRNA from 1 species
CCUACGGGAGGCUGCAGUGAGGAAUAUUGGUCAAUGGGCUUACGCCUGAACCAGCCAAGUCGCGUGAGGGAAGACUGCCCUAUGGGUUGUAAACCUCUUUUGUCAGGGAGCAACGCCGGCUACGUGUAGCCGGACUGAGAGUACCUGAAGAAAAAGCAUCGGCUAACUCCGUGCCAGCAGCCGCGGUAAUACGGAGGAUGCGAGCGUUAUCCGGAUUUAUGGGGUUUAAAGGGUGCGUAGGCGGAAUGCCAAGUCAGCGGUAAAAUCGCGGGGCUCAACCUCGCUCCGCCGUUGAAACUGGCGUUCUUGGGUGGGCGAGAAGUAUGCGGAAUGCGUGGUGUAGCGGUGAAAUGGAUAGAUAUCACGCAGAACUCCGAUUGCGAAGGCAGCAUACCGGCGCCCAACUGACGCUGAAGCACGAAAGCGUGGGUAUCGAACAGGAUUAGAUACCCGAGUAGG